GGAAAAACAGGAAUUUGGAAGGAACCUAUGGGCCACUCAGAAGUCUGAAUGUCCAAGAUGUUUGGAGGAAGAGCUUUCCCUCCGUUGCCAGAGCACCUGUGCAGGGAGAGCUGCUUAUGGGGAAGAGGAAUCAGGUCCCGUGGCCUUUGACCCUGCUGGCCCUAAAGCCAGCCUGAUCCGGCCUUGGCUCGCCCCUCUCCGCCAGAGACCAGCUGGUGAGGAUGAUUGAGGUGGCCCCAGCCUCCCAGCUGCUGCUGACUUGCACUUGGAAAUUCAAUCCUCUCAAGGUAAUUCCUCAGCUUAUAAAAAAAUUCUAGCAAUGAAUUGUGAAUGUGCUUCCUCCCACUCCACCCU
rnacentral:lncRNA from 1 species